AUGGUGAGACACCAUUUCAUCGCUCUCGAAGCUGAUGUUAUUCUCAAUAUCACGUUGAGGGUUGGAGGAGGAGAUGAUUCUUGGGCAUGGACAGCAGAAAAGUCGGGUAUCUACACUGUGAAAUCAGUGUACCGUUCUCUCAUGACUUUGAACGAGCAUUCUGCUCUAAAGGAAGGGAUGGUCACGGAAUCUUCAAAGAAACAAAAACAGUUGUGGACAAGACUUUGGAAGCUAAAAGUUGUGCCAAAGGUGCGAGUGUUUUGGUGGCGAGUGCUAAGGGGAAUUCUUCCUACUGAGUGCACUUUAAAACAUAGACACAUAGCUGAUUUGGCACGGUGCAAAGUCUGCUCUGAUGCAGACGAGAACAUGUAUCAUGCAUUGGUUAAAUGCACUCAUGUUAAGCUCUUCUGGAAGGAGGCGCGGGAAGCUUUAUCUGCCAAGCUUCUAGAGCUCCAUACAAAAACAUGA
rnacentral:rRNA from 1 species